rnacentral:RNase_P_RNA from 1 species
CGGCCCAGACGCCCGCCGGUCGAGGCACGCAGUGUCGUCGACGGGAGGAAAGUCCGGGCUCCGCAGGGCAAGGGUGCAGGAGAACGACCUGUCGGGGUGACUCGAAGGAAAGUGCCACAGAGAACAGACCGCCCCGCUUCCGUCGCGAGACGUCCGCGGGGCAAGGGUGAAACGGUGCGGCAAGAGCGCACCGCACCGGUGGUGACACCGGUGGCAGGGCAAACCCCACCCGGAGCAAGGCGAGAGGUCAGUCGUUUCGCAAGAGGCGACGAGCGCGGCCCGCGUGACCUCGCAGAGCCGCUCGACGACGUCGGCGACGACGUCGCUGGAGGAAUGGGCGUCCAACCAAAGCAGGCAACUGUGAGGUGGACAGAACCCGGCUUAUUGGCCGUCUG